AGUCGACGAUGAUCCCAGCUUGCUGGGGGAUUAGUGGCGAACGGGUGAGUAACACGUGAGUAACCUGCCCUUAACUCUGGGAUAAGCCUGGGAAACUGGGUCUAAUACCGGAUAUGACUCCUCAUCGCAUGGUGGGGGGUGGAAAGCUUUWUUGUGGUUUUGGAUGGACUCGCGGCCUAUCASCUUGUUGGUGAGGUAAUGGCUCACCAAGGCGACRACRGGUAGCCGGCCUGAGAGGGUGACCGGCCACACUGGGACUGAGACACGGCCCASACUCCUACGGGAGGCAGCAGUGGGGAAUAUUGCACAAUGGGCGCAAGCCUGAUGCASCGACGCCSCGUGAGGGAUGACGGCCUUCGGGUUGUAAACCUCUUUCASUAGGGAARAARCGAAAGUGACGGUACCUGCAGAAGAARCGCCGGCUAACUACGUGCCAGCAGCCGCGGUAAUACGUAGGGCGCAAGCGUUAUCCGGAAUUAUUGGGCGUAAAGAGCUCGUAGGCGGUUUGUCGCGUCUGCCGUGAAAGUCCGGGGCUCAACUCCGGAUCUGCGGUGGGUACGGGCAGACUAKAGUGAUGUAGGGGAGACUGGAAUUCCUGGUGUAGCGGUGAAAUGCGCAGAUAUCAGGAGGAACACCGAUGGCGAAGGCAGGUCUCUGGGCAUUAACUGACGCUGAGGAGCGAAAGCAUGGGGAGCGAACAGGAUUAGAUACCCUGGUAGUCCAUGCCGUAAACGUUGGGCACUAGGUGUGGGGGACAUUCCACGUUUUCCGCGCCGUAGCUAACGCAUUAAGUGCCCCGCCUGGGGAGUACGGCCGCAAGGCUAAAACUCACAGGAAUUGACGGGGGCCCGCACAAGCGGCGGAGCAUGCGGAUUAAUUCGAUGCAACGCGAAGAACCUUACCAAGGCUUGACAUGGGCCGGACCGGGCUGGAAACAGUCCUUCUCCUUUGUGGCCGGUUCACAGGUGGUGCAUGGUUGUCGUCAGCUCGUGUCGUGAGAUGUUGGGUUAAGUCCCGCAACGAGCGCAACCCUCGUUCAUGUUGCCAGCGCGUAAUGGCGGGGACUCAUGGGAGACUGCCGGGGUCAACUCGGAGGAAGGUGGGGACGACGUCAAAUCAUCAUGCCCCUUAUGUCUUGGGCUUC
rnacentral:rRNA from 1 species